rnacentral:rRNA from 1 species
CUACGGGCGGCAGCAGCUAGGGAACUUUUACAAUGCACGAAAGUGUGAUAGAGCAAGCCAAAGUGCUUUUCCGUAUUGGAAAAGCUUUUGUCAGAUGUAAAUAUUCUGACGAAUAAGGACCGGGAGAGACUGGUGCCAGCCGCCGCGGUAAUACCAGCGGUCCAAGUCGCAGCCACGUUUAUUGGGUCUAAAACAUCCGUAGCUUGUUAAGUAAGUCUUUUGUGAAAUCUGGCAUCUCAAGUGUCAGGCUUGCAUAAGAUACUACUCAACUAGAGACUGGGAGACGUAAGAAGUACGAUUAGAGUAGCGGUCAAAUGCGUUGAUCCUAAUUGGACUAACAAUAGCGAAGGCAUCUUACGAGAACAGAUCUGACAGUGAGGGAUGAAGGCUAGGGGCGCAAAACGGAUUAGAUACCCCGGUAGUC